UGAGAGAGAGAGAGAGAGAGAGAGAGAGAGAGAGAGAGAGAGAGAGAGAGAGAGAGAGAGAGAGAGAGAGAGAGAGAGAGAGAGAGAGAGAGAGAGAGAGAGAGAGAGAGAGAGAGAGAGAGAGAGAGUUACAUUAUUUGACCUGUUCGGAUGCAAGCAGCGAUGGGGUCAAGUUAAAAUGCGCAAGCAGAGAGAGAGAGAGAGAGAGAGAGAGAGAGAGAGAGAGAGAGAGACAGAGAGAGAGAGAGAGAGAGAGAGAGAGAGAGAGAGAGA